rnacentral:rRNA from 1 species
UACAGAGACCUCAAGCGUUAUCCGGAUUUACUGGGCGUAAAGGGUCCGCAGGUGGUCGUGCGCGUCGAUGGUUAAAUGUUCGGGCUCAACCCGGACACCGCCGUCGAUACGGCACGACUAGAGGCCGGAAGAGGUAAGCGGAAUUGCCGGUGUAGUAGUAAUAUGCGUUAAUAUCGGCAAGAACACCAAAUGCGAAGGCAGCUUACUGGUACGCGCCUGACACUCAGGGACGAAAGCGUGGGGAGCGAAAGGG